GAUGAACGCUGGCGGCGUGCCUAAUACAUGCAAGUCGAGCGAAUGGAUUAAGAGCUUGCUCUUAUGAAGUUAGCGGCGGACGGGUGAGUAACACGUGGGUAACCUGCCCAUAAGACUGGGAUAACUCCGGGAAACCGGGGCUAAUACCGGAUAACAUUUUGAACCGCAUGGUUCGAAAUUGAAAGGCGGCUUCGGCUGUCACUUAUGGAUGGACCCGCGUCGCAUUAGCUAGUUGGUGAGGUAACGGCUCACCAAGGCAACGAUGCGUAGCCGACCUGAGAGGGUGAUCGGCCACUGGGACUGAGACACGGCCCAGACUCCUACGGGAGGCAGCAGUAGGGAAUCUUCCGCAAUGGACGAAAGUCUGACGGAGCAACGCCGCGUGAGUGAUGAAGGCUUUCGGGUCGUAAAACUCUGUUGUUAGGGAAGAACAAGUGCUAGUUGAAUAAGCUGGCACCUUGACGGUACCUAACCAGAAAGCCACGGCUAACUACGUGCCAGCCGCCGCGGUAA
rnacentral:rRNA from 1 species